CACUUUCUUGGGGUCGAACUGCGGUCACCUGGCUGUUAUUCAUCAGCGGAGGCACCAAGAGUUUUAAAUUGAACCGCCGGUCUUUCUCCAUUUUUGGUAUCAAGUGCAACGUUUCGGCUGGAUAACGGUCUCACUUUGCAGCAGCCGGUAGUUGAGGCCCAUGCCCAUGAAGAGGAAGAAACUGGAGACGAUCAGCAGGAUCCCGCAGCCCUGAUGGCAAGACGCGCCCCAAGUGAAGCCCGAGACAAGGAUGCGAAAAAAGCAACGACCGGCAUCUCACCGAAAGACGGCGGAGGAAGGUUGGGGGGGAUUUGGGGACGUGCGAGCGACGACGGAUCAUUAGUGAGGAACAUCUGCUGGAGGAGGUUGCCUCUCGUACCUGCUCCACCCUUUAAAGUCCGGCAACACUUUGCACUCUUCGCCGUCCAUGCAGGGAUGCAUCUGGCACCACCACUUCUGUGCAACGAUGGAUGCUGUACACAUUAAGAAUGAGUAAAGCAAAGCAAAGCCGUGCUGGCCGGGAGCCUGUGAAGCUGUCAAAGGGCUUCGCAGAGUGACGAGACAAGUGUCAACACGCAGGAAGCUCCUGUCACGGGAAACUUGAGUUAUGGAUUGAUUCAGUUGUAACGGAGGCCACAAUUGACGUGAUAUUAAAUGACCCAGUCAGGAGGCUGUCUCCUCGGGUGGACGGCCCCGGCGUCAACAGGCGACUGCUGAGUGAAGCGACUGAUUUGAUCUCUAUUUAUUGCCUACGGCUCAAAUAAUCAAAUCAAACUGCGUCAACCCCCCCACCCCCACCCCCCAGUCCCCAUUUCAAAUCUUAU